CCCUUAGAUGUCCUGGGCCGCACGCGCGUUACACUGAUGCAUUCAACGAGCUUAUAACCUUGGCCGAGAGGCCUGGGCAAUCUUGUUAACGUGCAUCGUGAUAGGGAUAGAUUAUUGAAAUUAUUAAUCUUCAACGAGGAAUGCCUAGUAAACGCAAGUCAUCAGCUUGCAUUGAUUACGUCCCUGCCCUUUGUACACACCGCCCGUCGCUCCUACCGAUUGAAUGAUCCGAUGAAUAUCAUGGAUUGAGGAUGCAAGUAGGUUCGCCUAUCUUCAUCUUCGAGAAGUGAAGUAAAUCUUAUCAUUUAGAGGAAGGAGAAGUCGUAACA
rnacentral:rRNA from 1 species